GAUGGCAGCAGGCGCGCAAAUUACCCAAUCCCGACACGGGGAGGUAGUGACAAUAAAUAACAAUACGGGGUUCUUUCGGGUCUCGUAAUUGGAAUGAGUACAAUUUAAAUCUCUUAACGAGGAACAAUUGGAGGGCAAGUCUGGUGCCAGCAGCCGCGGUAAUUCCAGCUCCAAUAGCGUAUANNNAAGUUGUUGCAGUUAAAAAGCUCGUAGUUGAAUUUCGGGAUCAAUAUUUCGGUCAUGCCGUUGGUAUGCACUGUUAUCAUUGAUUUCUCACCUUCUAAAGAACCGUAAUGCCAUUAAUUUGGUGUUACGGGGAAUUAGGACUGUUACCUUGAAAAAAUUAGAGUGUUUAAAGCAGGCUCACGCUUGAAUACAUUAGCAUGGAAUAAUGAAAUAGGACAUCCGAUUCUAUUUUGUUGGUUUCUAGGAUCGAUGUAAUGAUUAAUAGGGAUAGUUGGGGGCAUUAGUAUUCAAUUGUCAGAGGUGAAAUUCUUGGAUUUAUUGAAGACUAACUACUGCGAAAGCAUUUGCCGAGGAUGUUUUCAUUAAUCAAGAACGAAAGUUAGGGGAUCGAAGACGAUCAGAUACCGUCGUAGUCUUAACCAUAAACUAUGCCGACUAGGGAUCGGAUGAUGUUAAUUUUUUAAUGACUCAUUCGGCGCCUUACG
rnacentral:rRNA from 1 species